rnacentral:rRNA from 1 species
GGUAAUACAGAGGGUGCAAGCGUUAAUCGGAAUUACUGGGCGUAAAGCGCGCGUAGGUGGUUUGUUAAGUUGAAUGUGAAAGCCCCGGGCUCAACCUGGGAACUGCAUCCAAAACUGGCAAGCUAGAGUAUGGUAGAGGGUGGUGGAAUUUCCUGUGUAGCGGUGAAAUGCGUAGAUAUAGGAAGGAACACCAGUGGCGAAGGCGACCACCUGGACUAAUACUGACACUGAGGUGCGAAAGCGUGGGGAGCAAACAGG